rnacentral:rRNA from 1 species
CAGAUAUCAGGAGGAACACCGAUGGCGAAGGCAGGUCUCUGGGCUGUAACUGACGCUGAGGAGCGAAAGCAUGGGGAGCGAACAGGAUUAGAUACCCUGGUAGUCCAUGCCGUAAACGUUGGGCACUAGGUGUGGGGGACAUUCCACGUUUUCCGCGCCGUAGCUAACGCAUUAAGUGCCCCGCCUGGGGAGUACGGCCGCAAGGCUAAAACUCAAAGGAAUUGACGGGGGCCCGCACAAGCGGCGGAGCAUGCGGAUUAAUUCGAUGCAACGCGAAGAACCUUACCAAGGCUUGACAUGGACCGGAAAGACCUGGAAACAGGUGCCCCGCUUGCGGCCGGUUUACAGGUGGUGCAUGGUUGUCGUCAGCUCGUGUCGUGAGAUGUUGGGUUAAGUCCCGCAACGAGCGCAACCCUCGUUCUAUGUUGCCAGCGGUUCGGCCGGGGACUCAUAGGAGACUGCCGGGGUCAACUCGGAGGAAGGUGGGGACGACGUCAAAUCAUCAUGCCCCUUAUGUCUUGGGCUUCACGCAUGCUACAAUGGCCGGUACAAAGGGUUGCGAUACUGUGAGGUGGAGCUAAUCCCAAAAAGCCGGUCUCAGUUCGGAUUGGGGUCUGCAACUCGACCCCAUGAAGUCGGAGUCGCUAGUAAUCGCAGAUCAGCAACGCUGCGGUGAAUACGUUCCCGGGCCUUGUACACACCGCCCGUCAAGUCACGAAAGUUGGUAACACCCGAAGCCGGUGGCCUAACCC